GCCAUGUCCUACGCAAGAGCAAAAGAUGACUCCCCCAACAUGGCACUGGAAAACGAAAGAGGGGAAGACCACUGGGAACAUGGAGGAGAGAGAUGGAAGAAGAAGUGCAAGCUGCUGGCAAGACUUGGCAUGAACUAAAGUGGCUCGCCCAGGACAGAGUGGAAUGGCAGGGAUUUGUUGCUGCCCUAUACUCCACAGGGAGUGAUGAGGAUUAAAGAAAGCAGACACAGAUCCAGUGUUGGAAGAGGAAGUAUGUUACAUAAAAGAAAAAAAAACAACAGAUGUCAAAGCAGGUGUUGGCUGGUGCAGAAACAGCAUGAAAGGAUUUUUGUAUCUUUCCUGGACUGAUGACUUUCAUUCAACCUGAUCAUUUUUUAAUUUGCAUCAACUAAAACUUGUUAUAUAAAUCACUUUGUUGUACUCACACCUUAAACUUAAACCCAUUAUUACUUUGUUCUUUUCAUUGAUAAUUGAAAUUUAUAUGAUUGCAUCUAAAUCUAAUAAAUAAAUAUUUUUUGGAAAGCAAACCAUUUUGGUUCUUUUUAUUUUUAUCUUUUGUUUUAAUUUGAAACCAGGUCUUGUAUAAGAAAUUAUACUGGUGGAUCUGUCAGAGUAACACCAUGUUUGCACUUACCACAUGAAUACUAUACAUGUCUAGAAAAAAACAACUUGCAAUGAGUAAGCCUUCAUAUACAUGUUCUGAUAAAAUAAGCUUAUGCUGAAGUUUUUUCUCUAGACUUGCGCAAUUCACAGUGCAACAACAGUUAUUGGAAGUAAGCAGUCAAUAAAUAAAUAUAUUUAUUAGACACCAAAUUACAUAUUAAAUAUUUAGAAUGAAUAAAUAAUCAUAGUGAGAGAUAAUGGUUCCAUUAAUUAGUAUCACUAGCUUAACUGAUGAAUUUUUAUAACUUACUAUAAUGUGUUCAAGCAAGGUUAAU